UAUUCAUGCCUUCUUAUAAAUGUCUGAGAAUCAAGGGAUAUAAUAUAGAAAUGACAAAGGCCUCAGAGUUGCCUGUUCCCACUACUUGAGGCCAUCUCCACCCAGACGACACUCCACCUCCAAGUCAGAGGCAGUCCAGAAUCGUGUCUCUUCUGCACCCUAUCUUUCAGGAAUUCUCAGUCCAACAUCCAGGCCACUGGGGCUCUGAACAACCUGGGGAUUUUUCCUCUUAUGAGAAAUGCCUUUCACCAGAAUGAUGCCAUCUACAGCCUGACCCCUGCUGCCCACUGGACACACCACACCUGCCAGCUCGCCCAUCAGCACACAGGUUCUAUCUCCUCCAUUUAUCACCCACCCCUUUCCAGAGAUUUUACACAAUGUGAAGACAAUGGCUGACUUAAGUUUCUGUAGGCAGCAUUGACCCCACAGCUCCACACAGCAGACGGACAGAAUCUGACCUGAGGUCAAGUUUUGGGGAGAGGACAAGAAUCUGGAUCAGAGCCUAGAUCAUCAGAAACAGUCCAAAUUCCUGACUUGUACUGGUAGAUCCGGAACUACAAGGUCUCUGUGGUUGUCCUGCCCUGCGCUUCGCUCCCGCUGCACAGACUAGAAGAACUAAAUGAAAGUGUUCAUUUGCCUACCCUUAUUGACAGUUCCAACAGGACCAGGAGCUACAACAGAUUCAGAAAUGGGUGGAGACAUUCCCAAGUGCCUGUCUGCAUUCGCUAUGGGGAGAUAAAGUUCGUGUCCAGCUUUAUGACCCUGACUACAUGAAGGUGAUUCUGGGGAGAUCAGACCCCAAAGUUACAGAAAUCUCCAGACUCCUGGCUCCCUGGAUUGGUACUUACAUGUAAACUAGGACUGUCAUCUACUGCCCAGGUAGAUUUGCUAAGAGCAAUCUCUUUGGCUCACAGCGAACAACAGGGAUAUCCAAUCCUAUAUCCAGGCCAUUGAGGACCUCAAAAACCUGUUUAUUUCCCACAUGAGCAAUGUCUUUCAUCAGAAUGACGCAAUCUACAACCUGACUCCUACCGGCUGCUUAAACCACCGCACCUGCCAGCUUGUCCAUCAGCACGCAGGUUCUGUCUCCUCUUCUUGUCUCCUCCCCACUAAGCACAGCUAAAGGAGGCUGCUCUGUGUCAUCACAGAGCCAGGCCCCCUGUUGCCCCUGCAGAAACUGAGACACACCCAUGAUGGAGAUUUCUGUGGAGCAGGGGCUAAGAGCUGAGAUGUUAGGGGCAGGCAUGGUGCAGGCAUUUAUCUGUGUCCCCACAUGGGGAUGGUUACAUGAGACCCCAUCCAAGCAGCAUUCAAACAGUGGCUCUGUGAGUCAUGCCACUGCGGAGAGGUCUGCCCUGCCUCACACUGUAGUAGAGCUCUUACUCCUGACCAUGUACCCACACCCACACUCAUGCUGAGAUCUACCAGGCACCCACACAGGGGCAGGUGAACAGCUGGGACUCUGGGGGCCGCUGGCACACUCAGCCUGUAGAGUAACCACUGUUCUGGAACAGAUCGAGUGAUCCAGCUGAGGAAGUUUCGGCUGCAGGAGGAGCGGGAGCUGGAGAAGGUCAGGAGAAAGAGGCAUUUGGAUAUCCUGGACAUCCUCCUUUUGGCCAAAGUGACUGUGUGUAGGAGAGGCCAGAGGCUUUUCCCAAAAGCACAGAGCAAGAGACCAAUCCUGAACUCUCACUUCAGCCUCCCCAGAUGGAGAAUGGCAGCAGCUUGUCAGACAAGGACCUCCGUGCUGAGGUGGACACAUUUAUGUUUGGAGGACAUGACACCACAGCCAGCAGCAUCUCCUGGAUCCUCUACGCUCUGGCCAUACACCCCAAGGAUCAGCAGAUGUGCCGCGAGGAGAUCCAGAGCCUCCUGGGAGAUGAAGCCUUCAUCACCUGGAUUGAAAGUCAGCCUUUCCAUUUAUGGCCUUCACCACAACCUGAACAUGUGGCCAAACCCAGAGGUGUUUGACCCUUCCCACUUUGCCCUGGGUUCUGCUCAACACAGCCACGCUUUCCUGCCCUUCUCUGGAGGAUCAAGGUGAGGCAAACUGGUAAUGGAGGUGGAGAAACAGGGCCGCCUUGGGCACACAGCUGAUGCUUAUGCUCCCUAAUUCACAUGUGGCAUCUUCACCUAUACCCUUGGAUGCUGGUGCUUGCAAGAAGGAAGUCUGAUGCCAAUGUCUCUGUGAACAAAACAACUGCAUUUCAGGGCCCAGCACGGGGACUUCGCCUCCCUCUGCCUUUUCCAAUGUCCAGACAAAAUUCACUGAUCGUGCGUGUUCUGAACUUCCAAGUAUUCUGGUGUUUGCCUCAUUUUGGGAGUAUGAAUUUUCAAUAUUAGACUUUUUUGGUAAAAUUAAUUUUAUAUAUUAGCAUUCCUCAAUUUUCAGAGAUAUUAAAGCUGACUUCUCUCUCCCUACAUAUUGCUGAUGCAGCACAUCACCAUUUCUACCUAACUCACUAAUGUGAAAACACUGAAAUCUUUGCGUAUGUUUAGAAUUAAGGUGCCUUGCUAGUCCUCCCUUACAAGCCAAACAAGUGGAAGGUUAAGACAGCCCUUUGCAGAAAGUUUAAUACCCAUAUGUGUUGUCUCAAAUAUUUUGCUGUUUUGUCCAACAAAUGCUCACUGUGUUACAAUGUUCACAUAUUUAUGUCCCCUUUCCCAUUUGGCAAAAUUGUUUUUGUGCAAUGGAUUCUCUAUAGCAUGAUCCCACAGCUCCCAUAGCAAAAUGUGGACAAACACAUAAAAAUGAGGACAAUAACCUGACUUUGAGGGAAGCCCUCUUUUGAGUAUAUGACAAAUAACAUUUGAAGACUUCCUGUGUGUGGAUUACGAAAUACACUUGAAAUAGCUGUUCAGUUGAACAUAUGCACUCCAAAAUAACUGAUGUGGAAAUCCUCAGGGGCUGAGGAAACAUCUGAUGAAAAGCUAAUGCCAAAAGCUAUGUAAAUUGUUAGUGAAAACACAGUUUUUCUAAAUGAGUAAUUACGUAAAUUCUCCUGAUGGUGAGUCCACUUUCACACAAUGGUCAUUAAGCAAAUGUUCCAGAAAGUCCUUCUCCAGCACUGCUUCAUCCCAGGAUGAGAACUUCCUCCUAAACACUGGCUGUCAAUCAUGUUGCUGCCACUAGAGGACAGGAGAGCGUUCCUAAGCUCCAUGUCUAGUCCAGAACUAAUAUUAACUCUCAGUGUAUUCCAUUCUAUUUUAUUCAUUUUUUAAACGUAAUUAACUUCUUUCAAAUAUAUAAGUAUUUAAUAAGCCUAUCUCUGUGGGUUAGGCCCUGUGCAGCAUGAUGGGAAAACAGGAAAAAGGUACUGUCCCUGUGUCUAGGAGUUCAUAGUCAAGGACAAAAAUGUAUUAUACAGAAACGUAUUCUGUGCUCCAGACACACAUCGCUCCCUCAUCCAUCCUUUCACUUAGUCACUGAGUGGCUCUUUGAGUGUUUCUGUUUCUGGCACUGUCCUAGGCACUGGAAUGACUCUUUAUGGAUGGAGCAAAGAUGCCAACUGGGGUCUUGAGCUGGAAGAGGCACAGCUGGAAGGGGGUGAGAGGCAGGUGGGCCCUGGACUUAGCCUUGAGGAUGUGGCAGGCAGAGGUGGAGAGAGGAUAUUCUCAGCCAUCUCCACAUGAACAGGGCUAGACAGGUAAGAGUUGGGUGAGGCAACAAUCCAGGGAGGGCUUGGCUGCUACCUGGGAUGCUGUCCCCACUGUGGAGUGUGGGAGAGUCUGAGCUGGUCUAUUGCUUCAGUGUGGAAGGAGAGCAAGCAGGGACCCAGAAAGUCCAGGUAAGAAGACUGAGGGAUGGUAAGGAGGGACAUUUCUGGAAUAGAAUUAGAAGGCUACACAUGCUGGUGGACAGAUGGGGAAGGGGAGGCAAGCCUAGACCAUGGAGUUGGAGGAAAGUGGGGCAACAACUGAGCACCACCUACCCAGUGCCCUCCCAGGAAGCCUCCCUAUUACCCUUCAGACUCCUCUUUCCCACUCAUCUGGGCCUCUCUCUAAGAAUCCAGGUCUCUGUGUACCCCUGCAUGGAGAGCGCCAGAGAAUGUGCCUCUCCAACCCCACAGUGACCUGAUCUAGGCUCUACACUGGGGAACCACACACUGUCUGUGGAAGAGUGAACAAACCAUUGACUAACUCUACAAUUCAUGUGAUUAAACUCUGAGCCUUAGAGCCGUGGUCCUCCUGACAGAGGGUCACAGGUCUGCUCAGAGCAGAGGUAGGAGUUAGGAGCUAGCCUCGGAAGACUGGCAGGCUCUGUCUAAACUCAAGAAAAAGAGUGAAUCAAGGCCUGGGCAGAGGUGCAUGUGGCCUUUAAGGAAAGGAUUUGGGGGCUGGGCACGUAGAGGAAGACUCUAAAUCCCCAGCUCAAGGGUAGAGCUCAGAGACCAAAGCCUGCCUAGCUCACAAUGAGGCCUGAGGCCAUUUUUCAAUUUAUGGCCUCUGCAUGGCCCAGGAACUGCACUGGGAAACAAUUUGCCAUGAACCAGCUAAAGGUGGCCACGGCCCUGACCCUGCUCUGCUUUGAGCUGCUGCCUGAUCCCACCAGGAUCCCCGUCCCCAUGCCACGAAUUGUGCUGGAGUCCAGCAAUGGGAUCCACCUGCAUCUCAGAAGGCUCCCCAACCCCUGUGGGGACAAGGACCAGCUCUGAGGUCCUCCAUUUGCCAUCCUGUCUUCCUGACCUCUGCUCCUGUCUUCUGCCUGUCUGCCCACUUUCUGCUUUCAAUCUGCCCACGUGCCCUUCUUCUCACCUGUUUGCUAUCCUAUUUCUGUCUUCCAGUCUGUUUUCCAUUUCUCAGUCACCUUUCUCCAGGCUCCCUCCCUGCUUGUCUGUCUGUCUCCUACCCACCUGCAUCACUGGCUCUGCAUUUGACACCCAGUCUCCUGCCUGCCCUCGAGCCUGUCUCCCGCUACACCUGACUAACUCCUGCCUACUUGUCUGUAUAUUGUAGGCAUUUUCUAUUGCUGCUGAAAUAAACUACUGUAAUCUUGGUAAUUUUAAAUAACAGAAAUGUUUUCCCUUACAAUUCUGUAAGUCAAAGUCAGAUAUGGGUUUCAGUGGGUGAAAACAAGUUGUAGACAGGGCCAACCCCUUUCAGGGGUGCUAGGGAAGAGUCUUACCACUUGCCCUUUCAGCUCCAGAGCUGCCUUUUUUUUUUUUUUGCAUUCCUUGGUACUGGCCCCCUCCCUCUUUGGAACCAACAGCAUUUUCAAAUCUCUCUCUUACUGUCCUCACAUCUCUUUCCUUCUAAUAAAGACCUUUGUGGUUCCAUCUAGUUGAUUCAGAUAAUCCAGGAUAAAUUCACCAUCUCAAAACCCAUUACUUUCCACUUCAAAGUCCAUCUUGAUAUAUUCAGUCUCAUAAUUAUGGAUGCCAUGUAUUAGGAUGUGGACAUCAUCUAGGGUCUUGAUUCAGCUUAGCACAGUUCCUAUCUGAUUGUCAUUCUAUAUGUUUAUCUAUAUUUGUCCUGCAUGGCAGCUGGCAAUCUGAUUGCUAUUCACAGAACCCCUCUGUCUUCACUCCCCUAUAGAAAAAAGUACACAAAGUGUAUGCAGUGUCUGCAUUUACUUAAAAGGAAAUUGACAGAGGAGAGAAGACACCAAGGGGGAGGAAAUAUAGUGGAAACAAGUCUCUUCAGAGUAGGAAAAAGAGUGUUGAUAUUUGUUCUAUGGUGCAAGGAUCCCAGAUGGGAUUGACCUGGCUUACCCUGCUUCAUACAAUUGCAUGCCUGUGACCCAUGAUGGCCACAACCUGCCCAGCUCCUGAGGUUUUCUUGACAGUUUAGAUAAAGGGGUUUUCUCAAGGAGCUCAGAGGGAGCAGCUCACAUUUAUAGGGUAAAGAUUCCAGGCCUCUAUUCCAUUCAAGAUUUAGUUUUCCUUAUGCGAGAUGAAUCAGAGCAAGGCUGAGCUAAGGAUUUGUCUUACUGUGUUUGGUUUUGCUAUAAGAGAAUACCUAAGGCUGGGUAAUUGACAAAGAAAAGAGGUUUAUUUGGCUCAUGAUUUGGAUGGCUGGAAGGUCCAAGAUUUGGCAGCUGAAUCUGGUGUAGUCCUCAUGCUGCUUUCACCGAUGAUAGAAAGAGAAUGAGAAGCAGCCAUGUGACAGAUCACAUGAUGAGAGAGGAAACAAGAGAGAGACACCAAGAAAGCCAUACUCUUUUCAGGAGCCACUGUCCUGGAAAUAUGACUGUACCACCUAGAGCAGGAACUCACUCACACCUGCAAAGUAUGAAGGGGACAAUAAAUUAUUUAUGAAGGAUCUAACCCAUGAUUCAAACACCUCCUCACUAUGAUGCAUCUCCAAAUGUGUCACACUGGGGAUGAAAUUUCCAAAAGGGGUUUGAUCAAGGACAUAAUCCCAGCCAUAGUGGGGCUGCAGUGGGCUUAGCAAGAAAGCCUCAGAGGCCUAGUCUUGCAUGAGGGCCUCUGGUACACGGCUCUUCACAGCUUGAAUGAGACUGAGAAAGCAGCCAUCCCAGCAACAUCACCAGACAUCUAUCAACUUCCUUAAUAUAUGAGACCUGCAUACUCCUGAGAAGGCUCAGAGUACACAGCUGUUCAGCAAGCACUAGGAGGAGCCCAGGUAGGCAAAGAGGCUGUCAGACUCCAAGCAGCUCCUCCUCACAGCACAGGUUUUCAGUGGUCCUCUGCUUCUCGGGCUGGCUACCUUGGGGGAGCAGGAACAUCCUCAAUGCUGUUCAUACUUGGUGACUGCCUGGAUACUGGUGCUCCUUAGCCCUAUUUCACCACUUCGCCCUCAUGCACUCCCACCAGCUCCACUUGGUCAAGGAAAAGAGUGAAUCGAGACCUGGGUAGCAGGUGUUCCUGACUGCACCAAGCUUUCUCCAUCCAGACCUUGCUUCUCUUCCUUGAUCUGAGCAUAGGUGUCCUUUCAAACCCUCUCCAUUCCUAGCCCAGGGUCCUGGAUGCCAUAGACAGAUUUAUCGCUGCCUGAGAUGUGACAUCUCAUUCUAGUACCCUAAUGGGCUUCUCUCCUAGUUGGUACCUGUAGCCAGGACCUCUCUCUAAGUCUCCUGGGCUCCUGAGUCACUGGGAUAGUUCAGCCAUGCUCUGAGAAGAGGCAGGAAAGGGAAAAUCUGAACAGUAGGUGAUCAGCUAGGGUUGGAGGAAGAGGGAAAAUUGGGCCAGGAGAGUGAGUUGGAAACCUCCUGUACAUAAUGGUUAGUAGGUCACCCAGAAUCAGGUGGUGUACAAGGCUCAUGCUGGCCAUGCUCACAGAGCCCAGGACACUGGGCACUCACUCCCAUUACUACCCCUAGUACCUGGGUGAAAAGAGAGGUGAAGUAUAAAAGUGAAAGUCUCAUUUGGAUGGGAGAGAUAGAGACCUGAGCAUGACCAAAGAAAUAGAAAGGUGGACAAGGAGGGGAGCACUGAACAUUCACACAUAAAAUAAUAAAGGUAGACCCUUACCUACACCAUAUAUAAAGUUUUGUAAAAAAAGGAUAGAAAAGCUAAAAGACAGCCUACAGAAUGGCAGAAUGUAUUUGCAACGCAAAUGAGAAUAUAUGAAGAACACCACUCAACAUCAAAAUACAAAACUCCAUUCAAUAAUCAGCAAAUGACUACAACAGACUCUUCUGCGAAGAAGACAUGCAAAUGGUCAAUAAGCUCCUGAAAAGAUGCUCAACUUCAUUCAUCAUUAUGGACGUGUGAAGGAAGCCCACGAUGAGACACCACUUCAUACCCUUUAGGAAGUCUAUGAUUACUUUUAGUGGAAAAUAACAAAUAUUUAACAAAAUGUGAAAAAUUGGAACUCUUACAAAUUGCUGGUGAAUGUAAAUUGGCAUACCAAUUUGGAAAACAGAUUUGUGAUAUCUGGAAAAGAUAAGAGCACAAGUACCAUAGUAUCCAGAAAUUCCCACCUGGCUAUAUAACCAAACUAAUUGAAAACAGGGAUUCGAGCACAUACUUGUAAGCCAAUGUUCAUGACACCAUUAUUUACAACAGAUGUAAGAUAGAAAGAACUCAGGUGUCCAUCAACAGACAAACGGGUACACAGAAUGUCCUACAUACAUACAAUGCAAUAUUAUUUAGUCACAAACAGGAGUGAAGUUCUGAUUCCUACUACAGCAGGAAUGACCCUGAGAACACUAUGUAAGUGAAAAUAGCCAGACUUAGAAAGACAAAUAUUACAAUAAGUUCAGUUAUAGGUAGAAGAAUAGGCAAAUUCAUGGAUACAGAAAGUCAAUUAGAAAUUACCAGGGACUGGGGGAAGUCAGAUUGGGGAAAUAUUGCUUAAUAGUUACAGAGUUUCUGCUGGAGUGAAGAAAAUGUUUUGGAAAUAGGUAGUAAUGAGAUUUCUAAAUCAUCAUGAAUUUCAUUCAAUGUACAAUUUAAAUUAGUUAAAGUGUCUACUUUUAUGUUCUGUAUUUGUAACUAACUUCUUAAAAUUAAUAUACAUCAAACCAUUGAAUAGCUAAUGAAUCAGAUUUCAUGGCAUAUACAUCUUAUUGUAUCUCAAUUUACUUUUUUUUUUAAGGCAGGGCAGGGAGGAGUUAAACACUAGCUCUUCAGUGGGAUUGUCCAGGAGGACACAUUAGGAUUCAUCAAGAAUACCAACCCACAGAGAAAAGAGAAGAGUGAGACAGGACAGCUGCCUACUGGGAAUUGGUGUGGAACCCAGGGAGGCUCCCUACUGGGGAAACAGUGAGUGAACAAGAGCCCCUGGGACUCACUCACACUUCUGACUUAGACUUUGCAAACCUGGGCACAGGAAAUGCCACACCCCCCAGCCCCCACCACACCCCACCGCCAACCUUCUCUACCCUGGGCCUCCAGACUGACACCAAGAGUUGCUUGGCAGAACCACUGCUCAGGCCUGUGUGGAGCACAAGGGCCUUGAACUCCUGAGCACUACUCCACCAGCUACUGUAGCUCUGCCAACAAGGCAGGCCGGGCUCUCUUGCACACCCCCAGGAUAGAGGCUGUACCCACAGUGCUGAGGGGUGGACGGACUGCAGGCAUAGCAUCUGCUAUACCUUGCCAAACAAACCCCACUGACCUGGGACCCAAGUGAAGCUACCCCACCCCCCACCUCAGCAGUUGGACCAGUAGCAACUCUGCAUUAUCUGGGUUGGAACUCCCAGAGGUAAUGGUCAUGCCCACCAUUUAUGCCACUGCUGCAGCCCCUGCCUCUACUGCUCUCAGGCUGGGAGGAAGCAAGAAGCCUAAGGACUGUCACGGGCCUUGAGAACACUACAACUGCCUUACAGAAAUGUGCCCAGACUGUUUUCCAUGCAGCUCCCUGCCCCUGCUACUCCUCACUGGGCAGGUUUUCCUGACCUGGGUCCCCAGCACAGCCACCCUUCCCCCAAUGUGAGCACUUUGGUCAGUGGCGGCUCUACAUUUCUCUGGGAGGAAAUCUGGGACAAUCCACAGGCUUUCUGCCAUUUGCAGCUGCAGUAGAACUGUCCUUGUUGCCCUCUGUCUGAAGAAGAAAAAAAGACCCUGAUCACUUUGCUGGCACCUCUAACGUGGCACAACCACUAUAUGAAGAGGAGCCCAGUCUCUCUUCCCUGUGAGCCCCCAACUCCCUGCUCUUCACUAGACAGGGCCUUGGCUAGGAUCCACAAUGCAGCCACCCCACCCCCAGCUGAAUGCCUCCAUAGGCACCGGCUCUGUGUCUCUCUGGGGUGGAGUUGCCAGAGGCAACAGACUUGCCCUCUGCCACUGCCACUGCAGUGGUACCAACUCAUGCUGCCACCAGGCUGGGGAAGGAACAAAGAGCCUGAGUGCUUUACUUGUCCUUCCAGCACACCAUAGCCUCUCUAUAGAGAAAAGGCCAGACUGCCUUUCCCACUAGCUCCCCACCCCACCAGGUGUCCUCAGGCAGGCCCCAAGGCUUAGACCGGCAACACAGCUACCCAACAUUGGGGUGAUCAUUCCAAAUGUCAGCAGCUAUGCAAUUCUCUGGGAUGGAGCCCCAGAGACAAGUGAAAGGUCCUUUGCCAUUGCCACUGCCAAGGUCCCCGUCCCUGCUGCCCCCAAGCUGGGGAAGGAACAAAAUCCUGAGCUCACCCCAGGGCUGUAGUGUGCAGCCCAGGAAUGCCAAGCCGAAAACUAUAGCCAGCACUUUAGUGGGAGGCAAGCCCACACCCUCAGAAGACUGAGAAGGAGCACAGCUGCACAUGUGAGGAAAUAUAUAGGAGCCACAUGGCUGAGCAAGAGCCUUCCUACAGGCCGUUAUGCUUAAGUGCAUUACCGGAAUGCAUCCCAAACUUCAACAGCAAAAAUACUUUCCUAAUAUACCCCCUUGUGAAACCAAGGACAACAAUUCUGCCACAAGUAAAGAGCCUGCACAAAGACUUGGCCCUCUGAAAAGAGCCAGAAACAAAGUCAAUUGACUACACUACUUCACAGUUAAAAGAACAUCACUUCACACAGAUGAGAAAGAACCAGCAUAAGAACUCUGGCAACUCUGGAAGCCAGAGUGUCUCCUUACAUCCAAAUGACCACACUAACUCCUCAGCAAUGGUUCUUAGCUAGAAAGAAAUGGCCGAAAUGACAGGCAUAGAAUUCAAAAUCUGAAUGGUAUCAAAGAUCAAGACUCAGGAGGAAGCUGAAACUCAUUCUAAGUAAUCAAGGAAUUCAUUAAAGCGAUUCAAGAGAUGAAAGGUAAAAUAGGCAUUUUAAGAAAGAACCAAACUGAGCCAAUAGAGCUGAAAAAACAUACUACAAUAAUUUCAUCACACAAUUGGAAUUAUUAACAGCAGAAUAGACAAAGUUCUUAGAAUUAACUCAGUCAAACAAAAAUAAAGAAAAAAGAUUUUUUAAGUAAACAAAAUUAGAGACAUAGGAUUAUAUAAGGAGACCAAACCCAUGACUCACUGGUGAGUAUGAAAGACAGGGAGAGAGAGGAACUUGGAAAACAUAUUUGAGAAUAUUGUCCAUAAAAAUUUCUCCAACAUACUAGAGAGGUUGCCAUGCAAAUUCAAGAAAUUUAGAGAAUCCCUGCAGGAUACUGUAAAAGGUGACCAUCCCCAAGCACAUAAGUCAUCAGAUUAUCCACAGUCAACACAUACAAAAAACAUUAAAUGCAGCUAGAAAGAAGGGCAAAUCAUCCUCAAAGGGAACCUAAUCAGGCUAACAGUGGACCUUUCAGCAGAAAACCCAUAAGCCAGAGGAGAUUGGGAUGUAUUUUCAGAACGCUUAAAGAAAAAAUUCCAACCAAGAAUUUCAUAUUCAACCAAAGUAAACUUCAUAAGCAAAAGAGAAAUAAAGUCUUUCUCAGGAAAGUAAGUGCUUAAGGAAUUCAUUACCACCAGACCUGCCUUACAGAAGGUCCUAAGGGCAUGCUAAACAUGGAAAUGAAAGACCGUUACCAGCCAAUACAGAAACACACUUAAGUACAUAGACCACAACAUUAUGAAGCAGAUACACAGCAAGUGUACAUAACAACCAGCUAACAACAUGAUGACAGGAUCACAUCUGCACAUAUCAAUAUUGACCUUGAAUGUAAACAGGCUAAAUACACAACUUAAAAAUGAGGGCACAAGAGGAUAAUUGCAGUAAAAAUAACUGAAUUGUACAUUUAAAAAUACCUAAAAUAUAAUUGAUUUUUAUGAUACAAAGGAUAAAUGCUUGAGAGGAUAAAUACCUCAUUCUCCAUGAUAUAAUUAUUAUGCACUGCAUGCUUGUAUCAAAACAUCUCAUGUAUAUCCUAUAUAUAUAUAUCCUAUAUAUCCACAAAAAUUAAAAA